rnacentral:rRNA from 1 species
CAGCCGCCGCGGUAAUACCGGCGGCCCGAGUGGCGGUCACUAUUAUUGGGCUUAAAGCGUCCGUAGCCGGGUUGGGAAAUCCUCCGGGAAAUCUGGCCGCUUAACGGUCAGAAUGCCGGAGGAUACUCCCAGCCUAGGGAGCGGGAGAGGCCGAGGGUAUUCCCGGAGUAGGGGUGAAAUCCUAUAAUCCCGGGAGGACCACCUGUGGCGAAGGGGCGCGGCUGGAACGCGUCCGACGGUGAGGGACGAAGGCCAGGGGAGCAAACCGGAUUAGAUACCCGGGUAGUCCUGGCUGUAAACGAUGCGGACUUUGUGUCGGACAAGCUAUGAGCUUGUCCGGUGCCGGAGGGAAACCGUUAAGUCCGCCGCCUGGGGAGUACGGCCGCAAGGCUGAAACUUAAAGGAAUUGGCGGG